UACAGAGGGUGCAAGCGUUGUUCGGAAUUACUGGGCGUAAAGCGCGUGUAGGCGGCUCUGCAAGUCGGAUGUGAAAUCCCACGGCUCAACCCUGGAAGUGCAUUCGAAACUGCAGGGCUAGAGUCCUGGAGAGGAAGGUGGAAUGCUUGGUGUAGAGGUGAAAUUCGUAGAUAUCAAGCGGAACACCGAUGGCGAAGGCAAUCCCCUGGACCUGUACUGACGCUCAUGCACGAAAGCGUGGGGAGCAAACAGG
rnacentral:rRNA from 1 species